ACCUGGAUUUUGGAGCCCCAGGUGGACAUCCUCUUGACUCAGGGGAAUAAUGUGGCACUACAAACGGUCAUCUCUGCACAUGGUGCACCUUUGCCGAGGACGACAACAAUGCGCGAAUGAUCUCUUUGUCCCUCCCUCCUCCUGUUGAAUUUGAACAUGAAAUGAUAUGAGAUCAGGGAGGGAGAUCGCGAUGAUGUGAAGUGGAAGGAAGGAUAAUGGGACGAGAGUGGUGGUGUUAGCAGAUUAAAGGGACAGGGUGUACGAAACCAAGGCGACGAUGAAGGCGGAAGAAUGAGACCAGGAUAGCGGCGACGGUGACUAGGGUUUCUCAUAGAGAUGUAAGGGUACAUGCGCGUCUUGUGGUCUAAGUAUCGGUGAGUUCUUUUGGCCAAUUCUCCCAUAUUCUGCCUAUAUAUAUGUUGUAGUCACAUCUACCUAGGACACGUCACCCCAUGCCACUACAACCAAUAGAACACCCCGCAUUUGCAGGAAGUCUGUGUGGACCAGCCACUACACCUCGUGCAUCCACCACCGGCGUAGGUGUAUGAGAUAAAAUAAAUAAAAUAUCAAGGCGUGAGAGGGGCUAGGAGGUUAAUACUGAUUUACCUGAAGGAAAUAUGCCCUAGAGGCAAUAAUAAAGUUAUUAUUUAUUUCCUUAUAUCAUGAUAAAUGUUUAUUAUUCAUGCUAGAAUUGUAUUAACCGGAAACAUAAUACAUGUGUGAAUACAUAGACAAACAAAGUGUCACUAGUAUGCCUCUACUUGACUAGCUCGUUAAUCAAAGAUGGUUAUGUUUCCUAACCAUGAACAAUGAGUUGUUAUUUGAUUAACGGGAUCACAUCAUUAAGUGAAUGAUCUGAUUGACAUGACCCAUUCCAUUAGCUUAGCACCCGAUCGUUUAGUAUGUUGCUAUUGCUUUCUUCAUGACUUAUACAUGUUCCUAUGACUAUGAGAUUAUGCAACUCCCGUUUGCCGGAGGAACACUUUGUGUGCUACCAAACAUCACAACGUAACUGGGUGAUUAUAAAGGAGCUCUACAGGUGUCUCCAAAGGUACAUGUUGGGUUGGCGUAUUUCGAGAUUAGGAUUUGUCACUCCGAUUGUUGGAGAGGUAUCUCUGGGCCCUCUCGGUAAUGCACAUCACUUAAGCCUUGCAAGCAUUGCAACUAAUGAGUUAGUUGUGGGAUGAUGUAUUACAGAACGAGUAAAGAGACUUGCCGGUAACGAUAUUGAACUAGGUAUUGGAAUACCGACGAUCGAAUCUCGGGCAAGUAACAUACCGAUGACAAAGGGAACAACGUAUGUUGUUAUGCGGUCUGACCGAUAAAGAUCUUCAUAGAAUAUGUAGGAGCCAAUAUGAGCAUCCAGGUUCCGCUAUUGGUUAUUGACCGGAGACGUGUCUCGGUCAUGUCUACAUUGUUCUCGAACCCGUAGGGUCCGCACGCUUAAGGUUACGAUGACAGUUAUAUUAUGAGUUUAUGCAUUUUGAUGUACCGAAGUUUUUUCGGAGUCCCGUAUGUGAUCACGGACAUGACGAGGAGUCUCGAAAUGGUCGAGACAUAAAGAUUGAUAUAUUGGAAGCCUAUAUUUGGAUAUCGGAAGUGUUCCGGGUGAAAUCGGGAUUUUACCGGAGUACCGGGAGGUUACCGGAACCCCCCGGGAGGUACAUGGGCCUUAAUGGGCCUUAGUGGAAGAAGAGGAGAGGCGGCCAGGGCUGGGCCGCGCGCCCCUCCCCCCUAGUCCGAAUAGGACAAGGAGAGAGGGGUCCGGCGCCCACUUCCUUCUCUCUCUCUCUUUUCCCACCUCGCGAGUCCUAUUCUAACUAGGAUUGGGGGAGAAGUCCUACUCCCGGAGGGAGUAGGACUCCUCCUGGUGCGCCCUAUGUGGCCGGCCAGCCUCCCCCUCUUGGUUAUUUAUAUACGGAGGCAGGGGCACCCCAGAGAGACACAAGUUGAUCCAUGUGAUCUUAUUCUUAGCCGUGUGCGGCGCCCCUUGCCACCAUAGUCCUCGAUAAUAUUGUAGCGGUGCUUAGGCGAAGCCCUGCGACAGUAGUACAUCAAGAUUGUCACCACGCCGUCGUGCUGACGGAACUCUUCCCCGACACUUUGCUGGAUCGGAGUCCGGGGAUCGUCAUUGAGCUGAACGUGUGCUAAAACUCGGAAGUGCCGUAGUUUCGGUGCUUGAUCGGUCGGGCCAUGAAGACGUACGACUACAUCAACCAAACGCUUCUGUUGUCGAUCUACAAGGUACGUAGAUCACACUCUCCCCUCGUUGCUAUGCAUCACCAUGAUCUUGCGUGUGCGUAGGAGAAUUUUUGAAAUUACUACGUUCCCCAACAGUGGCAUCCGAGCCUAGGUUUUAUAUGUUGAUGUUAUAUGCACGAGUAGAACACAAGUGAGUUGUGGGUGAUAUAAGUCAUACUGAUUACCAGCAUGUCAUACUUUGGUUCGGCGGUAUUGUUGGACGAAGCGGCCCAGACCGACAUUACGCGUACGCUUACGCGAGACCGGUUCUCCCAACGUGCUCUGCACAGAGGUGGCUUGCGGGUGACAGUUUCUCCAACUUUAGUUGAACCAAGUGCGGCUACGCCCGGUGCUUGCCAAGGUUAAAACAGCACCAACUUGACAAACUAUCGUUGUGGUUUUGAUGCAUAGGUAAGAUUAGUUCUUGCUUAAGCCCGUAGCAGCCACGUAAAACUUGCAACAACAAAGUAGAGGAUGUCUAACUUGUUUUUGCAGGGCAUGUUGUGAUGUGAUAUGGUCAAGACAUGAUGCUAAAUUUUAUUGUAUGAGAUGAUCAUGUUCUGUAACCGAGUUAUCGGCAACUGGCAGGAGCCAUAUGGUUGUCGCUUUAUUGUAUGCAAUGCAAUCGCGAUGUAAUGCUUUACUUUAUCACUAAGCGGUAGCGAUAGUCGUGGAAGCACAAGCUUGGCGAGACGACAACGAUGCUACGAUGGAGAUCAAGGUGUCACGCCGGUGACGAUGGUGAAUCACGACGAUGCUUCGGAGAUGGAGAUCACAAGCACAAGAUGAUGAUGGCCAUAUCAUAUCACUUAUAUUGAUUGCAUGUGAUGUUUAUCUUUUAUGCAUCUUAUCUUGCUUUGAUUGACGGUAGCAUUAUAAGAUGAUCUCUCACUAAUUAUCAAGAAGUGUUCUCCCUGAGUAUGCACCGUUGCGAAAGUUCUUCAUGCUGAGACACCACAUGAUGAUCGGGUGUGAUAGGCUCUACGUUCAAAUACAACGGGUGCAAAACAGUUGCACACGCAGAAUACUCAGGUUAUACUUGACGAGCCAAGCAUAUACAGAUAUGGCCUCGGAACACGGAGACCGAAAGGUCGAGCGUGAAUCAUAUAGUAGAUAUGAUCAACAUAGUGAUGUUCACCAAUGAAACUACUCCAUCUCACGUGAUGAUCGGACAUGGUUUGGUUGAUUUGGAUCACGUAAUCACUUAGAGGAUUAGAGGGAUGUCUAUCUAAGUGGGAGUUCUUUAAGUAAAUUAACUGAACUUGAAUUUAUCAUGAAACUUAUUACCUGAUAAGUAUCUUGCUUGUUUAUGCUUGAUUGUAGAUAGAUGGCUCGUGCUAUUGUUCCGUUGAAUUUUAAUGCGUUCCUUGAGAAAGCAAAGUUGAAAGAUGAUGGUAGCAAUUACACGGACUGGGUCCAUAAGUUGAGGAUUAUCCUCAUUGUUGCACAGAAGAAUUACAUCCUGGAAGCACCGCUGGGUGCCAGGCCUGCUGCUGGAGCAACGCCGGAUGUUAUGAACGUCUGGCAGAGCAAAGCUGAUGACUACUCAAUAGUUUAGUGUGCCAUGCUUUACGGCUUAGAAUCGGGACUUCAACGACGUUUUGAACGUCAUGGAGCAUAUGAGAUGUUCCAGGAGUUGAAGUUAAUAUUUCAAGCAAAUGCCCGGAUUGAGAGAUAUGAAGUCUCCAAUAAGUUCUAUAGCUGUAAGCUGGAGGAGAACAGUUCUGUUAGUGAGCAUAUACUCAAAAUGUCUGGGUAUAAUAAUCACUUGAUUCAAUUGGGAGUUAAUCUUCCAGAUGAUUGCAUCAUUGACAGAAUUCUCCAAUCACUGCCACCAAGCUACAAGAGCUUCGUGAUGAACUAUAAUAUGCAAGGGAUGAAUAAGACUAUUCCCGAGCUCUUCGCGAUGCUGAAAGCUGCGGAAGUAGAAAUCAAGAAGGAGCAUCAAGUGUUGAUGGUCAACAAGACCACUAGUUUCAAGAAAAAGGGCAAAGGGAAGAAGAAGGGAAACUUCAAAAAGAAUAGCAAGCAAGUUGCUACUCAAGAGAAGAAACCCAAACCUGGACCUAAGCCUGAAACUGAGUGCUUCUACUGCAAGCAGACUGGUCACUGGAAGCGGAACUGCCCCAAGUAUUUGGCGGAUAAGAAGGAUGGCAAGGUGAACAAAGGUAUAUGUGAUAUACAUGUUAUUGAUGUGUACCUUACUAAUGCUCGCAGUAGCACCUGGGUAUUUGAUACUGGUUCUGUUGCUAAUAUUUGCAACUCGAAACAGGGACUACGGAUUAAGCGAAGAUUGGCUAAGGACGAGGUGACGAUGCGCAUGGGAAACGGUUCCAAAGUCGAUGUGAUCGCAGUCGGCACGCUACCUCUACAUCUACCUUCGGGAUUAAUAUUAGACCUAAAUAAUUGUUAUUUGGUGCUAGCGUUAAGCAUGAACAUUAUAUCUGGAUCUUGUUUGAUGCGAGACGGUUAUUCAUUUAAAUCAGAGAAUAAUGGUUGUUCUAUUUAUAUGAGUAAUAUCUUUUAUGGUCAUGCACCCUUGAAGAGUGGUCUAUUCUUAUUGAAUCUCGAUAGUAGUAACACACAUAUUCAUAAUGUUGAAACCAAAAGAUGCAGAGUUGAUAAUGAUUGUGCAACCUAUUUGUGGUACUGCCGUUUAGGUCAUAUCGGUGUAAAGCGCAUGAAGAAAGUCCAUACUGAUGGACUUUUGGAGCCACUUGAUUAUGAACCACUUGGUACUUGCGAACCGUGCCUCAUGGGCAAGAUGACUAAAAUACCGUUCUCCGGUACUAUGGAGAGAGCAACAAAUUUGUUGGAAAUCAUACAUACAGAUGUAUGUGGUCCGAUGAAUAUUGAGGCUCGUGGCAGAUAUCGUUAUUUUCUCACCUUCACAGAUGACUUAAGCAGAUAUGGGUAUAUCUACUUAAUGAAACAUAAGUCUGAAACAUUUGAAAAGUUCAAAGGAUUUCAGAGUGAAGUUGAAAAUCAUCAUAACAAGAAAAUAAAGUUUCUACGAUCUGAUCGUGGAGGAGAAUAUUUGAGUUACGAGUUUGGUGUACAUUUGAAAAAUUGUGGAAUAGUUUCGCAAUUCACGCCACCCAGAACACCACAGCGUAAUGGUGUGUCCGAACGUCGUAAUCGUACUUUACUAGAUAUGGUGCGAUCUAUGAUGUCUCUUACUGAUUUACCGCUAUCGUUUUGGGGAUACGCUCUAGAUACGGCCGCAUUCACAUUAAAUAGGGCACCAUCAAAAUCCGUUGAGACGACGCCUUAUGAACUGUGGUUUGGCAAGAAACCAAAGUUGUCAUUUCUGAAAGUUUGGGGCUGCGAUGCUUAUGUGAAAAAGAUUCAACCUGAUAAGCUCGAACCCAAAUCGGAGAAAUGUGUCUUCAUAGGAUAUCCAAAGGAGACUAUUGGAUACACCUUCUAUCACAGAUCCGAAGGCAAGACUUUUGUUGCUAAAUUUGGAAACUUUCUGGAGAAGGAGUUUCUCUCGAAAGAAGUGAGUGGGAGGAAAGUAGAACUUGACGAGGUAAAUGUACCUGCUCCCUUAUUGGAAAGUAGUGCAUCACAUAAAACUGUUUCUGUGACACCUACACCGGUUAGUGAGGAAGCUAAUGAUGAUGAUCAUGAAACUUCAGAACAAGAUACUACUGAACCUCGUAGAUCAACCAGAGUAAGAUCCGCGCCAGAGUGGUACGGUAAUCCCGUUCUGGAAGUCAUGCUACUAGAUCAUGAUGAACCUACGAACUAUGAAGAAGCGAUGGUGAGCCCAGAUUCCGCAAAGUGGCUUGUAGCCAUGAAAUCUGAGAUGGGAUCCAUGUAUGAGAACAAAGUAUGGACUUUGGUUGACUUGCCCGAUGAUCGGCAAGCAAUUGAGAAUAAAUGGAUCUUCAAGAAGAAGACUGACGCUGACGGAAAUAUUACUGUCUACAAAGCUCGACUUGUCGCAAAAGGUUUUCGGCAAGUUCAAGGGAUUGACUACGAUGAGACCUUCUCACCCGUAGCGAUGCUUAAGUCUGUCCGAAUCAUGUUAGCAAUUACCGCAUUUUAUGAUUGUGAAAUUUGGUAGAUGGAUGUCAAAACUGCAUUCCUGAAUGGAUUUCUGGAAGAAGAGUUGUAUAUGAUGCAACCAGAAGGUUUUGUCGAUCCAAAGGGAGCUAACAAAGUGUGCAAGCUCCAGCGAUCCAUUUAUGGACUGGUGCAAGCCUCUCGGAGUUGGAAUAAACGCUUUGAUAGUGUGAUCAAAGCAUUCGGUUUUAUACAGACUUUUGGAGAAGCAUGUAUUUACAAGAAAGUGAGUGGGAGCUCUAUAGCAUUUCUGAUAUUAUAUGUAGAUGACAUAUCACUGAUUGGAAAUGAUAUAGAAUUUCUGGAUAGCAUAAAGGGAUACUUGAAUAAGAGUUUUUCAAUGAAAGACCUCGGUGAAGCUGCUUACAUAUUAGGCAUUAAGAUCUAUAGAGAUAGAUCAAGACGCUUAAUUGGACUUUCACAAAGCACAUACCUUGACAAAGUUUUGAAAAAGUUCAAAAUGGAUCAAGCAAAGAAAGGGUUCUUGCCUGUGUUACAAGGUGUGAAGUUGAGUAAGACUCAAUGCCCGACCACUGCAGAAGAUAGAGAGAAAAUGAAAGACGUUCCCUAUGCUUCAGCCAUAGGAUCUAUCAUGUAUGCAAUGUUGUGUACCAGACCUGAUGUGUGCCUUGCUAUAAGUCUAGCAGGGAGGUACCAAAGUAAUCCAGGAGUGGAUCACUGGAUAGCGGUCAAGAACAUCCUGAAAUACCUGAAAAGGACUAAGGAUAUGUUUCUCAUAUAUGGAGGUGACAAAGAGCUCAUCGUAAAAGGUUAUGUUGGUGCAAGCUUUGACACUGAUCCAGACGAUUCUAAAUCGCAAACCGGAUACGUGUUUACGUUAAACGGUGGAGCUGUCAGUUGGUGCAGUUCUAAACAAAGCGUUGUAGCGGGAUCUACAUGUGAAGCGGAGUACAUGGCUGCUUCGGAAGCAGCAAAUGAAGGAGUCUGGAUGAAGGAGUUCAUAUCCGAUCUAGGUGUCAUACCUAAUGCAUCGGGUCCAAUGAAAAUCUUUUGUGACAAUACUGGUGCAAUUGCCUUGGCAAAGGAAUCCAGAUUUCACAAGAGAACCAAGCACAUCAAGAGACGCUUCAAUUCCAUCUGGGAUCUAGUCCAAGUGGGAGACAUAGAGAUUUGCAAGAUACAUACGGAUCUGAAUGUUGCAGACCCAUUGACUAAGCCUCUUCCACGAGCAAAACAAGAUCAACACCAAGGCUCCAUGGGUGUUAGAAUCAUUACAGUGUAAUCUAGAUUAUUGACUCUAGUGCAAGUGGGAGACUGAAGGAAAUAUGCCCUAGAGGCAAUAAUAAAGUUAUUAUUUAUUUCCUUAUAUCAUGAUAAAUGUUUAUUAUUCAUGCUAGAAUUGUAUUAACCGGAAACAUAAUACAUGUGUGAAUACAUAGACAAACAAAGUGUCACUAGUAUGCCUCUACUUGACUAGCUCGUUAAUCAAAGAUGGUUAUGUUUCCUAACCAUGAACAAUGAGUUGUUAUUUGAUUAACGGGAUCACAUCAUUAAGUGAAUGAUCUGAUUGACAUGACCCAUUCCAUUAGCUUAGCACCCGAUCGUUUAGUAUGUUGCUAUUGCUUUCUUCAUGACUUAUACAUGUUCCUAUGACUAUGAGAUUAUGCAACUCCCGUUUGCCGGAGGAACACUUUGUGUGCUACCAAACAUCACAACGUAACUGGGUGAUUAUAAAGGAGCUCUACAGGUGUCUCCAAAGGUACAUGUUGGGUUGGCGUAUUUCGAGAUUAGGAUUUGUCACUCCGAUUGCCGGAGAGGUAUCUCUGGGCCCUCUCGGUAAUGCACAUCACUUAAGCCUUGCAAGCAUUGCAACUAAUGAGUUAGUUGCGGGAUGAUGUAUUACAGAAUGAGUAAAGAGACUUGCCGGUAACGAGAUUGAACUAGGUAUUGGAAUACCGACGAUCGAAUCUCGGGCAAGUAACAUACCGAUGACAAAGGGAACAACGUAUGUUGUUAUGCGGUCUGACCGAUAAAGAUCUUCGUAGAAUAUGUAGGAGCCAAUAUGAGCAUCCAGGUUCCGCUAUUGGUUAUUGACCGGAGACGUGUCUCGGUCAUGUCUACAUUGUUCUCGAACCCGUAGGGUCCGCACGCUUAAGGUUAUGAUGACAGUUAUAUUAUGAGUUUAUGCAUUUUGAUGUACCGAAGUUUGUUCGGAGUCCCGGAUGUGAUCAUGGACAUGACGAGGAGUCUCGAAAUGGUCGAGACAUAAAGAUUGAUAUAUUGGAAGCCUAUAUUUGGAUAUCGGAAGUGUUCCGGGUGAAAUCGCGAUUUUACCGGAGUACCGGGAGGUUACCGGAACCCCCCGGGAGGUACAUGGGCCUUAAUGGGCCUUAGUGGAAGAAGAGGAGAGGCGGCCAGGGCUGGGCCGCGCGCCCCUCCCCCCUAGUCCGAAUAGGACAAGGAGAGAGGGGGCCGGCGCCCACUUCCUUCUCUCUCUCUCUCUUUUCCCACCUCGCGAGUCCUAUUCCAACUAGGAUUGGGGGAGAAGUCCUACUCCCGGAGGGAGUAGGACUCCUCCUGGCGCGCCCUAUGUGGCCGGCCAGCCUCCCCCUCUUGGUUCUUUAUAUACGGAGGCAGGGGCACCCCAGAGAGACACAAGUUGAUCCACGUGAUCUUAUUCUUAGCCGUGUGCGGCGCCCCCUGCCACCAUAGUCCUCGAUAAUAUUGUAGCGGUGCUUAGGCGAAGCCCUGCGAUAGUAGUACAUCAAGAUCGUCACCACGCUGUCGUGCUGACGGAACUCUUCCCCGACACUUUGCUGGAUCGGAGUCCGGGGAUCGUCAUCAAGCUGAACGUGUGCUAAAACUCGGAGGUGCCAUAGUUUCGGUGCUUGAUCGGUUGGGCCGUGAAGACGUACGACUACAUCAACCAAACGCUUCCGUUGUCGAUCUACAAGGUACGUAGAUCACACUCUCCCCUCGUUGCUAUGCAUCACCAUGAUCUUGCGUGUGCGUAGGAGAAUUUUUGAAAUUACUACGUUCCCCAACAUUACCACCCUAUGAUAUGGUUGGACAUGGUAAGUCAAGUCACUGUUCAUUUGGCAAAAGUGUACAUAGAUGGGUGUCGAAUUAGAUCAAGACACAUAGUACAAAUGAUGUGGCAGGUUGAUAACCGGAUCGUGACAAAUAGGACAAGAAGCGCGUCCUAACUGUUGGCAUGAUUUAUGGACAUAUGCCAUUUUGCAGGAAAAAAUAGCUGGUAUUUUCAUUAAUGGGCUUUCUAUAAGAAUGGGGUAAAUAUUCCACCAAUAUAUGCGAUAUUUAAUCUUCCUAAUUAGGAAGGCGUUUCACAUGCUUGGCACGCGGAUAAAAUGGGUAAUAACACAUGCCAUCCCGGGAUGAAGUUGUGCUAGAGAUAGAGCCGCCUGACCUAGAUUCAGGGGUUGGUGGUGGACAACUUCUUGACACCAAGGAAGAUGGUGGCACCAUGGAUGGUUGUCUAUGUGCCCCCACGCUCCUCCUCUGAGGAAGAUUGCGACGGCGCCUGUGAAUGGCCUCUUUGUCCCUUGCUCCUCGUGUGAGUCUAUAGGCAGACGAACUGGUGACUAAGGAGGAAGGUGAUGGAGAUGCCACAAGGGAGGAAUACAACCCUAACCCUAGUGUGUCACCGCCACCAACUGCACACAAAGCACAAUACUAUUCUCUAGUGCCCCCUCCCCCCGGCUUUCCCCAUCGUUGUGCCGCUAACCCUAUCGAAGCCUAGUCGCGUCCAAUCACGCCUUCUCCUUAAGGACGUGUCAACUCCUUCGAGCCAGAACACCAAAGCAAAACAAACUAAAUGGCGAAUCAUACUUUUGCACCUAAGCACAAAAUGACUAAGCAAUUGUGUGCAACACUACUAGAUCUAGAUGUUGACGAAGCAUAAUAUCGAGGGUGAUGCGUGGUGGCCAAAGAGAUGACGACGUGGGGUACAAGGUGGCGGAGGCAUCUCGCUUGCGUUUGACUCCAUUGGAUUUUGCUUCUUGAUUGACCAUGGGAGGCAUAUACAUUGGGAAGACCUGAGGAAGGAUCUCGAUCUUGCACCGCGCUGCUGCGGAAGGGGCGCAAGUGUUGAUGGCUUAAUAGGAUUGGAGGGCCCUAGUUUUGAUGUCCUUAUUAUUUCCCCAAGGUGGAUUAUAUUCGGAAGUCUUAUAUAUUUCCACUCUUCUUACACGGCAAUGCGCUCUUGCAAGAAACAAAUUUCUAUCAGACCAGGCCUAACUAGUUGGAGAGUUAUUUUCCAUCCGAGUAGAAGGCACUAACAAUUUCAAUCUUAGAGUAUCGCCAACAGUCGUCCUAUAAUAAGUGUGAGUCAUUUUUAGGGCUUUAGGGCGCAAAGAGCCAAAAAGGCCUCCAACCGAUGCCCAAUUCUAAAUUUCUUGCAAAAUCUUUUUUAGGCAGCCCUAAAAGAGGCUCAUUGUGCGACAAAUUUGGGGCACUUCGGCGCCUGCCCAAAAACAUGAGGCUACUUCCGGGCGCCUUCAUGCAACCGAAAAUCCUUGGAUCCGUUCGGUGGCCGGGCCCCCAACCCGAAUAUGCUUGCUGCUCCCUUCUAAUUUUAGAGUAGCUGUUGGAGCAGUUUUGCCCUAUUUCAUGAAUUUUUAUUUAUUUAUUAUAGGGCUACUGUUGGAGAAGGCGCUUGCUUGUGUAAAAAGAGAAGAAGGUUUUUGUGCCUAAUUCUUUUUACUCCAUCAUGUUUUCGUGCCCUAUUAUAGAGCUGUCGUUGGAGAUGCUCAUAGUGCAUUCAGUCCCGCUUGUAGAGUAUACGUGGACACCGCCACGCACGCAGGUAGUGUCAGUGUCUGCAGCCAAGGACACAUCAUCCCAAAGCCACGGCAACCUAUUGGACACCGCCACGCGUGCAGGAAGUCUACGUGGCCUCUCGCGCAUCAGCGGCCGAUCAGCGCGCAACCGACGGCAGGGAUAAACCCACGUCGAAACCACAAAAUAAAUAAAAUCUCUCGUAAUUAAAGGUCAGCACGAAGCAACCCCUCCUCAAAUGGCAACUCCCCCGAUCCCGAAGACGACGCUCCGAGUCGGCUCCCACUGAUCGCUUCUAGAAGCUUCCACAAAGCUCCGGCCCGCCGCCAUGGCCGCGCCCUUCUUCUCCACCCCCUUUCAGCCCUACGUCUACCAGGUCGGUGCUGCUCCCUCAUCUCGCACGUUUCUCGUCCCCGCGUAGAUUCUAGGUCUUGAUUCGAGGUCGCGGGGCUGGAUCCGCACGAUCCGUGCCGCUCUGCUCCCGAUUGGGCCCCCUCUCAUGAUCUGAUUCGGUUUGAAUUGCGUGGUUCCCCUUUUUCAGAGCCAACAGGGAUCUGUGACGGCGUUUCAGAUAUCCGGUGGGGAUGUGCAGGUCCUGCAGGUAGUUUCCCGUGCCUAAUUCUCGCUCGCCUGUUCUAUAUUCAGAUGGAUCGAGUUGUCAUCAUUUCUAAUUACUUGUGGGGGGAAAAUGCUUUUUAGGUGAUGGUGAAGUCGCAGGACAAGUUGACUGCGAAACCAGGUAAUUGAACCGACUCGUUUCUAUUCUGCGGCUGAAAUUUGCAGCUUGCAAGCUUAACAAGGUGACAUGCCGAAUACAUGUUUAGCCUGGUAUUCAUGUGGCACUUGGCAGAAAUUAUUAAAAAGUUAUACCCCUAGUUUCAAUUGUAUAGUAUCCUUAAACCAUCUUAAUGUUUUGUAUACCUAUUUGGCAUGUCCACUACGGUUUUGUUCAAUAACGCCUUGAAAAAUCAUUGUGCAUCAGCCGUGUGUUGAUAGUUGUUACUGCAAGGUGCUUCAUCGCGUCGCGUAUUUUCUUUCUAUGUAUGAUGUGCCUCUCAUAGAGGUUGUUUGCGUGUACCCUUUUUUCUUCUCAUUGCUGUCAAUGUUCAGGAUUUUGGUAACUGUUAGCUGCUUGGUCCGGUGCCGAGUAGGGAUUAAUCGGCGAAUCAUCCUAUUAACUGAAUUAUCGAUAACCCAUUUCUCGGUAGGUUAACUAGGGCCGUAUUGAUAUAUCCUAGGCUACAUGGCAACAUACGAUGUACUAAACGUCCGAAUAUGCAAUCCUGGGCUACAUAGUUACAUACACAUCACCAAUCUUCAUAGAUCACAUAGGAGAGGGGAGAUUACCUUGAUGCUUGAGGAAGCCAUGGACAGAGGAGGGGAGGAGCAGGCGAUGAAACAGGAAGAAAUAGCAAGCUUGGGGAAGCAAUCUGGAAGACGGCGCCGUUGGCUGGUCGGUGAGGAGGCGGCGAGCUCGGGGGCGGGGGCACUGGCUGCUCCUUGUUGCUGGAUGAGGGGAGG
rnacentral:lncRNA from 1 species